AUGACUGAUGCCAUUAUGACUGGAGCCUCUAGCAUUCAGUUUCUUAAGAGAUUUACCCUCCUGUCAGGGUUGGGUCUGGGGUCAUCUUUGGCUGCUUGGGAAAAAAGAGAUAACCAUGUUGGAGCUUUAAAAUUUCUUGAUCAUAGAAGACACUGA
rnacentral:lncRNA from 1 species